UGAAAGGGUAAGGGAGUAGAGAGGGGGAGGAGGGAAAGGGGAGGAAGGAGAGUGACCCUGAGGACCUGAGUUUGAGGCUUGGGAACCUAGUGACUACCAAAAGUUGCUCUCUGACCUCCACAUGCAGCAAGGUACAGUUGCACCUGCAAGUCCACAACAAUACGAAUUAAAAAUAUAUAUUUAAAAACCUAGCCUGGUAAUGUAUGUCUGAAAUCCUAGGAUCUGGAAGAGGCAAGAGGAUUGCCCAUAACUAAGGCAGAGGCUAACCUUGCCCAGCCAGAGCUAGUCUCAAAAAAAAAAAAAAAAAAAAAAAAAAAGGGGUGGGGGAGAGAAACAAAAACAACAAACAAACAAAAACAAAAAAGGUGGUGGCACACGCCUUUAAUCCCAGCACUCCGGAGGCAGAGGCAGGCGGAUUUCUGAGUUCGAGGCCAGCCUGGUCUAUAAAGUGAGUUCCAGGCCAGCCAGGGCUAUACAGAGAAACCCUGUCUCGAAAAACAAAAAACAAACAAAACAACAAAACCACCCCUGCUUGCUCCCACCUCCCCAGCCCUGCUUUGCAGUCUCCUCAUCUCGGAGUCUGGACCCAAGGCAUGGUGCUGGUGAUGCUGAAGGAGAGGUGGACCCUGUGCCCAGCAGCUCAGUCGGCUGUCUGUCCCUCCUCCUCAGUUUAGGCAGGGCACACUAUUUUAAGUCCCACAUCUGUGAUCUUCCUGUAGCUUGCCCCUGGAGCAGCCUCAAGCCGGGUGAUGAUUUAGUGACAUUUUCUGAGGACAGAUUUCCCAGGCUGAUCCUAUGGGUCAGAACAAUCCUGUUUCAAGCUUUUUAGCGAACUGUAACAAAGUGUCCAUGUGUUCGUCAAACUUGUUACAGUUACCCAUUGGGGCCUGAGUCUUUAUACAGCUAAGGGCUCCCAUCUUUUCAAACCCAGGCCCUCACAACCUUGUGUCUGGUUGGAGUUUUUUGUUUGUUUUGUUCUGUUGUAAACAUUUGGAUACUUUAAAUUAUCCCACAUACUUUAUUACUUUUAAAGGUUUACUUUAUGAUGAUGAUUAUGAAAUAUUAUUAUGAUUAAGAAAGGAGCUCACUGUGUAGACUAGGCUGGUCUUAAACUCAGAGGUCCACCUGCCUGUGCCUCCCAAGUGCUGGAAUUACCGGCAUGUGCCACCACACCCAGAUAUUUUAUUAUUAUUUUUAGUUACAUGAACGUGUGUCUCUGUCUGUGGGUUUGGGCACAGGACUGCAGCUGCUGAAAGAGGUCAGAAGUAUCGGAUUCCCUGGAGCUAGAGUUACAGGUAUGAACUGCCUAGUGUUGUUACUAGGAACAGAGCUGGGGUCCUCGGCAGGGGCAGUACCCAUGACUAACUGCACAACCACGGCUUUUGCCUCCUGUUUAGGCGGUCUGCUUUUAUUGGUGUGGUUUUGGUUUGGUUUGUUUGAGCCCGGUCUCAUGUAAUCAAUGGCUAGUUUCAAACUCUCUAUGACCCAGCAAGGAUGGCCUUGAAUUCCCGCUUCCACCUCCCAAGGGCAGCAGACACAAGUUUAUGUCCCUGUCUCUUUUAUGUUACAGCCCCUCCCCCCAAUACCUUUUAAAUGCAAAAAAAAAAAAAAAAAAAAAAAAUCAUUAAACUGCUGAGCCCAGGGGAGCUGGCAAGCAAUCCUUCAGCGUGUGUGUUGGGGUGGCUUGAAGCUGAGCUGAGCGCCUGACUCUGCAGAACAGCUGUUUCCUCUGGCUUUGUGGGUGGCAGCUGCUGCCUGCCCACCUCCCUGGAAUUGAUGGGCGGAGGGGUGUGGGUGGCAGCUGGGAAGAGGAGGACAGAUCAAGGACGAAGGGGCACCUGGUCCAAUUCUGGCAUUGUUGGCUCAAUCGAUACGUGUUUAUUGAACACCCUUGACGGCAGCCCUGGGGUCUCCGGGGGUGCUGGAGACACUGAACAGCAAGAGCACCCUCGGUUCCUGGAAAUCAUAAUUGCUCGUUCUUCUUAUCAGAGGCAGGGCCCCAGUGACCUUCCUCGCUACCCCCCCCCAAGGCAAUGAUGGAGCUACGUAGUGAAAAGCAGAGAGAUGUAUUCGCUUCGCUGUGGCCACAGUGAGAAGGGUGACAAGUAAUGAGGUCCAGGGACCCCCCCCCCCAAUCCAUCUUCAGACUGAGGUUGAGGUUUGAGAGAGAUGCACAGCCAGGUUGUCCCACCGUGUGCUGUGCCGUGUGUCACUGACCCAGACCAGUCUGGGCUCCAGUCUGUCCUGUGUAGAAUUUUUCCCUGACAGACAAGUACCCUCUCUGGCUGUCAGCAGGCUUCAGCUUUUUUUCUUCUCUGAGCAUGAGACUCCUGUCGGAGGGGAUUCCGAUUCCUGGGGGAACCUUUAUCUCAACAGUCUGAUAGCCAAAGGGAUGGGCUCUGUAGAGUCCCUAGAGAGUAUAGGCCAGGAUGGUUUUGUUCUUGCUCCAAGCACAGACCACGCCUGUGAACUCGUUUACUAUUACAGAUGGGGAAACUGAGGCAUGGAGACACCUCUAAGCAACUAAUUAAAGUACAGAGUUGAGAAGGC